UGGAAGUAAGUAAACACUUCAAACAUGUGGAGGUUUUAUGCUGUGAGAACUUUGAUGGAAGUUAUUACAAAGAUGUGUGAAACAUUGCUUUCAAAAGGGUUUGGUUAUUAAAAAGCAUUUUAGCGAUUGUGCACAGAUAUAAUACAGUGACAUUUAUUACGGAUAUAAUUCUAUAGAUGCAGAUUUUGACCAAAUACGAGGAUGUUUCUAAGAACUAUGAAUAGCAAAAUUGAAUCAGAAUGUCCGAGAAAUACAAAGCUGUAGACAUAUUAUUUCUGAUGUCAUGCAAUUUGUAGAUCAGUGAUCUGAAAUGUCAAGUCAGAUAUUCGCCACUGCAAGAUAUUGCUCUGUCAUAAAUGCUGUACUAAACAUCGUGUUGUUGCUUUGGAACUAUUGUCUGCAUUAAAUGUCAGUACAGAAUACCAUUCGGUGCAAGAUACAGCACUGACAAAAUAUGGCGGGUCAAACAUUUUGAUGUAUUUUGAGGAUGGAAAGGAACAGAAACCAGUUCGAGAAUUACAUCAACUACUGUGACAAUCGUUCACUGACAUUUGAAGUAUUUCUGCUAAAAAGGUCAACAUUUGCGAUUAUGAAUACCAUAUAGAUAUUUUAAACAUAAUGGUAGACUAUACAAACAUUCUCAAAUAUAAUGCGGCUGCUAUAAUAUAGAACACUGCAAACUGUUACUAUCAUGAACGUCUCGAAGGUAACAGAUUAUGAUCUUGAGGACUUUGAUACGUCUCGCGAUGUGUACAGUAUUGUUGCACCCCUGGUUUUUGUUUUAGUCAUUUUUCUAUUACUGUUAUUUAUCAUUGCUCAUAUUUUAAGGUAGACCGACGUUUCUGAUGUGGCUGUGCUAUGAAUAUGUUAAAAUUAUACAAAGAUUAUAGGGACACAUCAUAUGAUUGUCUUGAAAUACAAGCAGGGUGUGAUAAUAUUUUGGUGUUGUUUUGAGUGGUAGAGAACUAGCCUUUAAAAUGCAAAGUUUGCUUAAAAUCUGUAUGUCAGGUUCAUUUAAGUUUCAAUGGUUCGUUCACGUGCUUGCUUUUUGGCAAUUUAACAAUUCUUAAGGUAGUUAUGCAUAGUCAGAUAAUUGUUUUCCUACGAUGUAAAAUUUGAUUUUUACUCAAAGAUUGACGGAGAACAUCCGGCCAUUAAAAGAGAGUUUAAUGUGAUAAAUUUCUAUAUCUAUUUGAAAAAUAUAGACCUCAGUCAACUGUUCUUAAUGGGAGUCUAUGGGGAAUCAAUUAUAAUGACAUUUUCGAUACAGACAUUUUUCUGCAAAGUAAAUAUCUCACAUUUUGCAUUAGUUUCGUUGAAUAAGAUGUGCAUACGGUUAAUUUAUGUCAUCAUGAAGAAAGAGAUCCUCUGUUUCCAAGUUGAUUUGACCUAAUUUUGGACUCAAGAAGGAAAUGUGCUGCCUGUUUUAUCAAUAAUAUCAAUAAACAAACGUUGUCAUUUACUCGUGGUUAGUUCACGUUUCCGUAUGCCGGAUCCGGGCUUUAUUCUUUGUUUAUGGAAAAAUGACGUAACGCAAUUAUUUGCAGUUUUUCAUACUUGCAAAACUACCUUAACCAGUAAUGUCCCAUUAAGUCUAUGUCUUACAAAGCAUUAUUUCAUUCGUAAUCACUCAAUGUCAUAAAAAUCAAUUUUCUGGCUAGCGCUGUCUGCUCAUAACUGAGAUUUUAUAUAUAGACAUAACCAUAACUUACUAGCUUUCUUUUACCAUGUAACGUGACUUGUGACCUCAGAAUAUCAAAACGUUUGAUAACCGUAAUAUGUUCAUUCAGCCAUGGCCAUCAUAGACUAAAUGUUUUUAAUAAUCGUAUUAUCCUCCACAAUAGACUGUAUUAAUUUACGUGACCACAUGUUUUAUAGCGUUGUUAUUCAUUUAAUAUUAAGAUUGAAACUCUGAAUAUGUGUUGGUCAAUUUACUGACAUAUAUGUACUGUUCUAGAGGCAGAUGCAUUCACUGAUGAAAUAGGAAUGUCAUCAAUUUAAUGUCGCUUUUCUUGAGGAAAGCUACAUUUCAAAAACACCGCGAAAAGGACAAGUGUAGUUUCUGUUUAUGUCCAUUUGUCUAAUGAAAUACAGCUUCAACAGUUUCGACUUGUGUGUGCAGUAAUAUAAAAACAAGUGCUGGAUAAUAUGGUGCGAACCUUGUGAGGUAUUUCUUUGCAAAAAAAUAAUAUGCGUGAAAAUGAAAUUAAAAAGGAAGAAUUUAAAAGUACACAAAUUCGUGUUCGUACAGGUCUGUGUAUUUAGGUUCAUCCUACAGCUUACCCUAAGAGAAAGUACACAAUGAAUAAGAUUUUGGAGUUUUUGUUUCAAAAUUUGUUGUACACUGGUGCCUGCUGGUGCCCGGAAAAAAUGAUCGGAGGAGCACCCGGGGCCUUCCUCCGCCUUAAAAUCUAGAAAUUUGCCAUAGGACGCUUUGUUUUGUCGGUGUGACAUAUAUCCAAACAGAAACAAAAGGAAAGAAAUACGACUUGUACGCAACUGGUCCAAGUCUCUUAACUGUCUGCUUAGUAUGCUUUAAACAAACCCUGGUGAUAUUAUUACUUUCAUAAUAAUUUUACCAUCGGCUACAUGUUCUGUAUGCUGUUGACCAUUAUAUCUGGAAACUUUUGAUUUGUAUACCGGUAACAGUGUCUAAUGAAGCUUAUUUAACGCAAGUAUAACCGUAAGGCAGUAUUAAGAAAACGUAUUUGUUUGUCAGUUAAAAUUAUAUUUAUAGUAUAGAAUUUAAUUAAAUCUAGAUCUAGA
rnacentral:lncRNA from 1 species